AUGAGUAACACAAACUGUGCCAUCAUGUCCUGGAACAUCCGGGGGCUAAAUUCACCGUCCAAGAGAGAGGCAAUCAGAGAAGCUGCAGCCGCGCACAAGCUAGCCAUUCUGUGUGUCCAGGAAACUAUGAUCGACACCUGGACACAGCAAAUGGUAAAGGACGUAGGAGGAGAACGGAUGAAAGACUACGUCAUCCUGCUGGCAAUAGGAUCCAGAGGUGGAAUAGCCAUCCUCUGGAAUAGAGACUUGGUCUCUGUCUGCACGCAGGCAGUUGGCAUGUUCUCGAUUAUGGCUAUGGUUAGCAUAGUUAGCACUACGACUAUUCUUCCUCACUUUGGUCUACGGCCCCUCCGACGACACAAACAAGGAUACUUUGUUUGA
rnacentral:rRNA from 1 species